CCUACGGGUGGCAGCAGUGAGGAAUAUUGGUCAAUGGACGAGAGUCUGAACCAGCCAAGUAGCGUGAAGGAUGACGGCCCUAUGGGUUGUAAACUUCUUUUAUAAAGGAAUAAAACGAGGCACGUGUGCCUGUUUGCAUGUACUUUAUGAAUAAGGAUCGGCUAACUCCGUGCCAGCAGCCGCGGUAAUACGGAGGAACCGAGCGUUAUCCGGAUUUAUUGGGUUUAAAGGGAGCGUAGAUGGGUUGUUAAGUCAGUUGUGAAAGUUUGCGGCUCAACCGUAAAAUUGCAAUUGAUACUGGCAGUCUUGAGUACAGUUGAGGUAGGCGGAAUUCGUGGUGUAGCGGUGAAAUGCUUAGAUAUCACGAAGAACCCCGAUUGCGAAGGCAGCUUACUAAACUGUGACUGACAUUGAUGCUCGAAAGUGUGGGUAUCAAACAGGAUUAGAUACCCUUGUAGUC
rnacentral:rRNA from 1 species